UGGCGCAGGCUACACAUGCAGUCGAGCGGGGAAGAGUAGCUUGCUACUUUACCUAGCGGCGGACGGGUGAGUAAUGCUUAGGAAUCUGCCUAUUAGUGGGGGACAACAUCUCGAAAGGGAUGCUAAUACCGCAUACGUCCUACGGGAGAAAGCAGGGGACCUUCGGGCCUUGCGCUAAUAGAUGAGCCUAAGUCGGAUUAGCUAGUUGGUGGGGUAAAGGCCUACCAAGGCGACGAUCUGUAGCGGGUCUGAGAGGAUGAUCCGCCACACUGGGACUGAGACACGGCCCAGACGUCCUACUGGAAAAAGCAGUGGGGAAUUAUUGGACAAUGGCGGGGAACCUCAUCCAGCCAUGCCGCGUGUGUGAAGAAGGCCUUUGGUUGUAAGCACUUUAAGCGAGGAGGAGGCUACCGAGAUUAAUAAUCUUGGAUAGUGGACGUUACUCGCAGCAUAAGCACAGGGUAACUCUGUGCCAGCAGCCGCGGUAUUACAGAGGGUGCAAGCGUUAAUCGGAUUUACUGGGGUAAAGCGCGCGUAGGUGGCCAUAUUAAGUCAAAUGUGAAAUCCCCGAGCUUAACUUGGGGAAUUGCAUUCGAUACUGGUGAGCUAGAGUAUGGGAGAGGAUGGUAGAAUUUCAGGUGUAGCGGUGAAAUGCGUAGAGAUCUGGAGGAAUACCGAUGGCGAAGGCAGCCAUUUGGCUUAAUACUGACACUGAGGUGCGAAAGCAUGGGGAGCAAACAGGAUUAGAUACCCUGGUAGUCCAUGCCGUAAACGAUGUCUACUAGCCGUUGGGGCCUUUGAGGCUUUAGUGGCGCAGCUAACGCGAUAAGUAGACCGCCUGGGGAGUACGGUCGCAAGAGUAAAACUCAAAUGAAUUGACGGGGGCCCGCACAAGCGGUGGAGCAUGUGGUUUAAUUUGAUGCAACGCGAAGAACCUUACCUGGUCUUGACAUAGUAUGAACUUUCCAGAGAUGGAUUGGUGCCUUUGGGAACUUACAUACAGGUGUUGCACGGCGGUGUUCAGCUCGUGUCUUGAGAUGUUGGGUUAAGUCCCGCAACGAGCGCAACCCUUUUCAUUAUUUGCCAGCGGGUUAAGCCGGGAACUUUAAGGAUACUGCCAGUGACAAACUGGAGGAAGGCGGGGACGACGUCAAGUCAUCAUGGCCCUUACGACCAGGGCUACACACGUGCUACAAUGGUCGGUACAAAGGGUUGCUACCACGCGAGGGGAUGCUAAUCUCAAAAAGCCGAUCGUAGUCCGGAUUGGAGUCUGCAACUCGACUCCAUGAAGUGGAAUCGCUAGUAAUCGCGGAUCAGAAUGCCGCGAUGCUC
rnacentral:rRNA from 1 species